rnacentral:rRNA from 1 species
UACAGAGGGUGCGAGCGUUAAUCGGAAUUACUGGGCGUAAAGGGUGCGUAGGUGGAAACUUAAGUCAGGUGUGAAAUCCCAGGGCUCAACCUUGGACUUGCGCUUGAGACUGAGUAACUAGAGUUCUAGAGAGGAAUGUGGAAUUUCCGGUGUAGCGGUGAAAUGCGUAGAUAUCGGAAGGAACACCAGUGGCGAAGGCGACAUUCUGGCUAGUGACUGACACUGAGGCACGAAAGCGUGGGGAGCAAACAGG